CAGAAAAUAGUUUAAAUGAAAAUUUGGGUUUUGGAAAUCUAAGAUGCUGAAAAGUUUUUCUGA
rnacentral:tRNA from 1 species